AUACGAAGGGGGCUAGCGUUGUUCGGAAUCACUGGGCGUAAAGCGCACGUAGGUGGAUCAAUCAGUUGAGGGUGAAAUCCCGGGGCUCAACCUCGGAACUGCCUUCAAUACUGUUGGUCUUGAGUCCGAGAGAGGUGAGUGGAAUUCCUAGUGUAGAGGUGAAAUUCGUAGAUAUUAGGAAGAACACCAGUGGCGAAGGCGGCUCACUGGCUCGGUACUGACGCUGAGGUGCGAAAGCGUGGGGAGCAAACAGGAUUAGAUACCCUAGUAGUCC
rnacentral:rRNA from 1 species